GUCCACGCUGUAAACGAUGAGUACUAAGUGUCGGAAUUUUCCGGUGCUGAAGUUAACACAUUAAGUACUCCGCCUGAGUAGUACAGUCGCAAGACCGAAACUCAAAGGAAUUGACGGGCACCCGCACAAGCGGUGGAGCAUGCUGUUUAAUUCGAAGAUACGCGAAGAACCUUACCUAGACUUGACAUGCCGAUGACCGGUUUAGAAAUAAACCUUUCCCUUCGGGGACAUCGGACACAGGUGGUGCAUGGUUGUCGU
rnacentral:rRNA from 1 species